GGCGACCUUAUUCGCACCCGUGACGAGAUGCUUGCUGAGGUCCGUCAGCGUCUCCUUCAGGCCCAGAAGUUGGCGAAGCAUUACUACGACGACCACCAUCGCAAGGCGGAGUUCGCGGUGGGUGAUUGGGUGUGGUUGUGUCUUCUCCACCGCUCUACGCAGUCACUAGACCCGCGCGCAAAGCGCAAGCUCGGUCCUCGCUACGCUGGGCCCUUCGCCGUCUUGGAGCGCAUCGGGCAGGUGGCCUAUCGCCUUCAGCUACCGGCCGGCGCUCGCAUCCACGACGUGUUUCAUGUGGGGCUGCUCAAGCCUUUUCGUGGAGAGGCACCGGCGGCUCCACCC
rnacentral:rRNA from 1 species